GAUGAACGCUGGCGGCGUGCUUAACACAUGCAAGUCGAACGGAAAGGCUCCUGCUUGUAGGGGUACUCGAGUGGCGAACGGGUGAGUAACACGUGGGUGAUCUGCCCUGCACUUCGGGAUAAGCCUGGGAAACUGGGUCUAAUACCGGAUAGGACGAUGGUUUGGAUGCCAUUGUGGAAAGUUUUUUCGGCGUGGGAUGAGCUCGCGGCCUAUCAGCUUGUUGGUGGGGUAAUGGCCUACCAAGGCGUCGACGGGUAGCCGGCCUGAGAGGGUGUACGGCCACAUUGGGACUGAGAUACGGCCCAGACUCCUACGGGAGGCAGCAGUGGGGAAUAUUGCACAAUGGGCGCAAGCCUGAUGCAGCGACGCCGCGUGGGGGAUGACGGCCUUCGGGUUGUAAACUCCUUUCGCUAGGGACGAAGCGCAAGUGACGGUACCUGGAGAAGAAGCACCGGCUAACGACGUG
rnacentral:rRNA from 1 species